rnacentral:lncRNA from 1 species
GUCCCUACUCCAGGGGCCAAGGAUCUGCAGGGGUAGCCACAGCGGGAAUCCCGAGCCCUGCCAAGCUGAGCUAUGGUAGCUUAUUCACCUGCCUAGUUUUAGAGAAAGCCAAGAACUAAGUUGGCUGACCUUGAUCAUCGUCCUCCUCUAACUCCAUAAAGGACUGCUGGAGUCUGCUCUCUCUCUCUCUCUCUCUCUCUCUCACACACACACACACACACACACACACACACACACACACCCCAACCCCGGGUGCCUCUGGGGCCCCGGCCCCCUCGGCCCCCUCAUCGGAGUUGGAGUUGAAGAGGGUGGGUGCCCAGGCCUCUCUUUGGGACGGGCGGUAGCUGUCUCCGGGACUGACCACGGGAACUUCUGACCAAACCAGAGCACUUUCCUUCUCCGGAGUUCAGGCCCACCGCAGACUUUCCUGCCUCCACCCGCUUCGUGACUGCUACCACUGCGGAAGCAGAUGAGAGAAAUAAUAUUCCUCUUUGGGGAAAACAUAAUUUUAAAAAGUGAAUGGGAGGGCAGUGAGGAUUGGAACUGGAGGACUUCUUUUGGGGAGCAGGGGAAGGGUAUUUUUCUGAGAAUAGAUUUUUUUUUUUUUCUAAGAAUGUUGUCUUUUAAAUAAGCAACUUGUUAACUGGAAAACGAAGACAAAAUUCCUCUUACCGACUUUAAGAUUUUUUGCCCAUUAUUUGUCCCUUUUCCCCCAAACUCCAUAGCCU